CGGAAAGAGGAUUCGUCCAAUUGAAGCAGAGGACAGUGGCGGACGGGUGAGUAACGCGUGAGGAACCUGCCUUUCAGAGGGGGACAACAGUUGGAAACGACUGCUAAUACCGCAUAAGCCCACGGGUCGGCAUCGACCAGAGGGAAAAGGAGCAAUCCGCUUUGAGAUGGCCUCGCGUCCGAUUAGCUAGUUGGUGAGGUAACGGCCCACCAAGGCGACGAUCGGUAGCCGGACUGAGAGGUUGAACGGCCACAUUGGAACUGAGACACGGUCCAAACUCC
rnacentral:rRNA from 1 species